rnacentral:rRNA from 1 species
CAGCCCUAAACGAUGCGCGUUAGGUGUAUCGGUGACCACGAGUCACCGAGGUGCCGAAGGGAAACCGUGAAACGUGCCGCCUGGGAAGUACGGUCGCAAGGCUGAAACUUAAAGGAUUGGCGGGGGAGCACCACAACGGGUGGAGCCUGCGGUUUAAUUGGACUCAACGCCGGGAAGCUCACCGGAUAAGACAGCGGAAUGAUUGCCGGGGCUGAAGACCCUGCAUGACCAGCUGAGAGGAGGUGCAUGGCGUAGUCGUGU